AAAAAAAACAAGAAAUAACUAAAAAAUGAAAUGCAAAUUGUUCAAGACAAACUAUAUUUAACAUAAUUGGAACUGCAUUUGCAGCUAACUUGCUGCAGAUGUGCGGAGACGUGUCGUUGGGCAGCUAUUCGGUCAGCAGCUUUCAACAUUGUGGUCAAAGGUCGUGAAGGUUGGGCGGGACAGGCGAGCAGUAGUUGCGGCACAACGUUGCCGCUGACCUCGCCCGCAUCAUCAACAGCUGUUAAAGCGUGGCCAGGGGCCAGCUCCUGGCAUCAGGCGAUCGAUGAUCGCAUCGCGGAACAGCAGCUGCAAUCCCAGUGUGCGCACUCUGCAGAUCCAUCUGUGCACUGAGAGAAACGCAUGCUUGCACCUCAAAAUGCUGCAGUUGUUGCGACUUGUGCUCGGCCAGCUAUGUGAGCCACUUUUUCACAGCUGUUCAGGGCAUCAUUUUCUAUGUCCAGCUACCUUUAAGGUUCUUGUCGAUACGCACGCUCCGGGAGCUCGUGAACAGGAACCUUCGCGAUAUAUUGAAUCCUCAGCUUCAAGAUGCGACAGCGCUUUACACUAUUUCGGCCAGUAAAUGGCAUCAGCAGCAAUUGAGCAAUGCUAGAGCCCAGUAACUUGCACGGGGUGCAAGCGCCUUGUUUAUCUCCAAGUAAAUGGCCACACGAGACUACAAACGACUG
rnacentral:sRNA from 1 species